ACACACAUAUAUAGAUCGUGUCUUGUGUAGGAGAUUAAACGGUGCCGAGACCGUUGUUAUCUUUACCACAACAUACACUGUACAAACUAGGACUCCUCUGGAUCGUCACCAUGCUAUUUUUCUUGGUAACUAUUUUGUCCCUGCAAGCGUUCGUCGCUCAUGGCCAAGUAGAAAAUGUUUUUUCCUACUUGCAACACAACGGUAACUUUACCACACUGGUUAAACUCUUGAAGGAGUCCGGUCUAGCAGGAACUUUGGCGACGUCAGGUAUUCAUUUCAAUUUUUAUUUUGAUUAUUAAAACUACUAGUGUACUAGUAUCAAAUCUUGUUCUUUUAAAAAAAAUAUUUUCUUGAACUUUUUUACAUAAAACAGUAAAAACAAUAAGUAUAUAUACACAUACAUGUAUUGAUAAAGUAAAAGACCAUUCUAUAUACUGAUAAGGCCGUUCUUUUGUCGCCAAGCAACACCUUUGACAAUCUUUGCGCCGACUGAUGCUGCCUUUGCCAAGCUUCCACAGAGUGUCCUGGACCAACUGAGCACCGAUCCACAAGCUCUAGCAGACACCCUCAAGUUCCACGUGACCAAUGGAAUCAUUAUUUCUCCCAUGAUUCAAGAUGGAACGGAAUUUACCUCGCUGUCUGGAAAGAACCUCACAGCUCAUCGAUAUGCAAAUCAGAAAUACGUGAUUCAAGGUGUGAACAUAGAGUCCGGAGACAAAAUUGUCCUGAACGGUGUGAUCCACACCAUCGACUCGGUGCUGAUGCCCUCUGACGUAUCAAUCUCGGAAUAUCUCGGGACCCACGAGACCAAUUUUGCCGACUUGUACGCUGCUCUUGUGCUGGAAGGAUUUGAAAAUGCCUUAGAAUGUAAACAUAAAAUAUAUGCAUUAAAAUACAGAGAGAGAGAUAGAGAGAGAGAAGAGAAAGAGAUGGGGGGGGGAGGGGGGUUGCACUUUUGCAUUGUGCCUCUUUGACGAAAAUGACCAAAUAGUUUGUGUUGGGAACAAUUAUCUAGAAAUACACUGUAUUUACAGUUGGGACUUACACAUUAUUUGCUCCACGAGAUGAUGCAUUUGCUCAAAUUUUGGCAAACUUGCCUACUAUUGCUGCUGAUGACACUUACUUCAAAAAAGUUUUAAUGUACCACGUGGUACCAGGGGUGUGGUUUUCCGCUGGAUUGACAGAUGGCAUGUCACUUCCCACUCUGGCUGGAACAAACCUUACUAUCAGUGUGCAAGGAUCAGGUGUCUACGUAAAGACAGCACAAGUCAUAGAGGCCGAUGUUCCCUUGUCCAAUGGAUGCCUACAUGUGAUUGAUGACGUACUUGCUCCUCCAAAAUAAAAACAUUUUUCUCUC
rnacentral:misc_RNA from 1 species